UUGAUGUUCUAACGUUGACCCGUAAUCCGGGUUGCGGACAGUGUCUGGUGGGUAGUUUGACUGGGGCGGUCUCCUCCUAAAGAGUAACGGAGGAGCACGAAGGUUGGCUAAUCCUGGUCGGACAUCAGGAGGUUAGUGCAAUGGCAUAAGCCAGCUUGACUGCGAGCGUGACGGCGCGAGCAGGUGCGAAAGCAGGUCAUAGUGAUCCGGUGGUUCUGAAUGGAAGGGCCAUCGCUCAACGGAUAAAAGGUACUCCGGGGAUAACAGGCUGAUACCGCCCAAGAGUUCAUAUCGACGGCGGUGUUUGGCACCUCGAUGUCGGCUCAUCACAUCCUGGGGCUGAAGUAGGUCCCAAGGGUAUGGCUGUUCGCCAUUUAAAGUGGUACGCGAGCUGGGUUUAGAACGUCGUGAGACAGUUCGGUCCCUAUCUGCCGUGGGCGCUGGAGAACUGAGGGGGGCUGCUCCUAGUACGAGAGGACCGGAGUGGACGCAUCACUGGUGUUCGGGUUGUCAUGCCAAUGGCACUGCCCGGUAGCUAAAUGCGGAAGAGAUAAGUGCUGAAAGCAUCUAAGCACGAAACUUGCCCCGAGAUGAGUUCUCCCUGACUCCUUGAGAGUCCUGAAGGAACGUUGAAGACGACGACGUUGAUAGGCCGGGUGUGUAAGCGCAGCGAUGCGUUGAGCUAACCGGUACUAAUGAACCGUGAGGCUUAACCUU
rnacentral:rRNA from 1 species